rnacentral:pre_miRNA from 1 species
UGCUCAACUCUGCCUAUCCAAUCUGGGAGCACUCUCCAGUGACUUGAAGAAAGGAAAGUGCCACCUGACUGGAUGAGUUUGGUUGGGAU